rnacentral:rRNA from 1 species
UACGUAGGGUGCAAGCGUUGUCCGGAAUUAUUGGGCGUAAAGAGCUCGUAGGCGGUUUGUCGCGUCUGCUGUGAAAGUUCGGGGCUCAACCCCGGAACUGCAGUGGGUACGGGCAGACUAGAGUGCGGUAGAGGAGAGUGGAAUUCCUGGUGUAGCGGUGGAAUGCGCAGAUAUCAGGAGGAACACCAGUGGCGAAGGCGGGUCUCUGGCCCGCUACUGACGCUGAGGUGCGAAAGCGUGGGAACCAAACAGG